GAGGAUAUAGCUCAGUGGUAGAGUGCAUGUUUAGCACACACAAGGUCUUGGGUUCACUCCCUAGUAUCUCCA
rnacentral:tRNA from 1 species